rnacentral:snRNA from 1 species
AAGUGUUACAGCUCUUUUAGAAUUUGUCUAACGGGUUUUCCUGUCAUCCCAGGAAGACCCCA